CGGGACACGUGGUAUCCUGUCUGAAUAUGGGGGGACCAUCCUCCAAGGCUAAAUACUCCUGACUGACCGAUAGUGAACCAGUACCGUGAGGGAAAGGCGAAAAGAACCCCGGCGAGGGGAGUGAAAAAGAACCUGAAACCGUGUACGUACAAGCAGUGGGAGCACAGAGCAAUCUGUGUGACUGCGUACCUUUUGUAUAAUGGGUCAGCGACUUAUAUUCUGUAGCAAGGUUAACCGAAUAGGGGAGCCGAAGGGAAACCGAGUCUUAACUGGGCGUUAAGUUGCAGGGUAUAGACCCGAAACCCGGUGAUCUAGCCAUGGGCAGGUUGAAGGUUGGGUAACACUAACUGGAGGACCGAACCGACUAAUGUUGAAAAAUUAGCGGAUGACUUGUGGCUGGGGGUGAAAGGCCAAUCAAACCGGGAGAUAGCUGGUUCUCCCCGAAAGCUAUUUAGGUAGCGCCUCGUGAAUUCAUCUCCGGGGGUAGAGCACUGUUUCGGCAAGGGGGUCAUCCCGACUUACCAACCCGAUGCAAACUGCGAAUACCGGAGAAUGUUAUCACGGGAGACACACGGCGGGUGCUAACGUCCGUCGUGAAGAGGGAAACAACCCAGACCGCCAGCUAAGGUCCCAAAGUCAUGGUUAAGUGGGAAACGAUGUGGGAAGGCCCAGACAGCCAGGAUGUUGGCUUAGAAGCAGCCAUCAUUUAAAGAAAGCGUAAUAGCUCACUGGUCGAGUCGGCCUGCGCGGAAGAUGUAACGGGGCUAAACCAUGCACCGAAGCUGCGGCAGCGACACUGUGUGUUGUUGGGUAGGGGAGCGUUCUGUAAGCCUGUGAAGGUGUGCUGUGAGGCAUGCUGGAGGUAUCAGAAGUGCGAAUGCUGACAUAAGUAACGAUAAAGCGGGUGAAAAGCCCGCUCGCCGGAAGACCAAGGGUUCCUGUCCAACGUUAAUCGGGGCAGGGUGAGUCGACCCCUAAGGCGAGGCCGAAAGGCGUAGUCGAUGGGAAACAGGUUAAUAUUCCUGUACUUGGUGUUACUGCGAAGGGGGGACGGAGAAGGCUAUGUUGGCCGGGCGACGGUUGUCCCGGUUUAAGCGUGUAGGCUGGUUUUCCAGGCAAAUCCGGAAAAUCAAGGCUGAGGCGUGAUGACGAGGCACUACGGUGCUGAAGCAACAAAUGCCCUGCUUCCAGGAAAAGCCUCUAAGCAUCAGGUAACAUCAAAUCGUACCCCAAACCGACACAGGUGGUCAGGUAGAGAAUACCAAGGCGCUUGAGAGAACUCGGGUGAAGGAACUAGGCAAAAUGGUGCCGUAACUUCGGGAGAAGGCACGCUGAUAUGUAGGUGAAGUCCCUCGCGAAUGGAGCUGAAAUCAGUCGAAGAUACCAGCUGGCUGCAACUGUUUAUUAAAAACACAGCACUGUGCAAACACGAAAGUGGACGUAUACGGUGUGACGCCUGCCCGGUGCCGGAAGGUUAAUUGAUGGGGUCAGCGCAAGCGAAGCUCUUGAUCGAAGCCCCGGUAAACGGCGGCCGUAACUAUAACGGUCCUAAGGUAGCGAAAUUCCUUGUCGGGUAAGUUCCGACCUGCACGAAUGGCGUAAUGAUGGCCAGGCUGUCUCCACCCGAGACUCAGUGAAAUUGAACUCGCUGUGAAGAUGCAGUGUACCCGCGGCAAGACGGAAAGACCCCGUGAACCUUUACUAUAGCUUGACACUGAACAUUGAGCCUUGAUGUGUAGGAUAGGUGGGAGGCUUUGAAGUGUGGACGCCAGUCUGCAUGGAGCCGACCUUGAAAUACCACCCUUUAAUGUUUGAUGUUCUAACGUGGACCCGUGAUCCGGGUUGCGGACAGUGUCUGGUGGGUAGUUUGACUGGGGCGGUCUCCUCCUAAAGAGUAACGGAGGAGCACGAAGGUUGGCUAAUCCUGGUCGGACAUCAGGAGGUUAGUGCAAUGGCAUAAGCCAGCUUGACUGCGAGCGUGACGGCGCGAGCAGGUGCGAAAGCAGGUCAUAGUGAUCCGGUGGUUCUGAAUGGAAGGGCCAUCGCUCAACGGAUAAAAGGUACUCCGGGGAUAACAGGCUGAUACCGCCCAAGAGUUCAUAUCGACGGCGGUGUUUGGCACCUCGAUGUCGGCUCAUCACAUCCUGGGGCUGAAGUAGGUCCCAAGGGUAUGGCUGUUCGCCAUUUAAAGUGGUACGCGAGCUGGGUUUAGAACGUCGUGAGACAGUUCGGUCCCUAUCUGCCGUGGGCGCUGGAGAACUGAGGGGGGCUGCUCCUAGUACGAGAGGACCGGAGUGGACGCAUCACUGGUGUUCGGGUUGUCAUGCCAAUGGCACUGCCCGGUAGCUAAAUGCGGAAGAGAUAAGUGCUGAAAGCAUCUAAGCACGAAACUUGCCCCGAGAUGAGUUCUCCCUGACCCUUUAAGGGUCCUGAAGGAACGUU
rnacentral:rRNA from 1 species